CAAAAACAUCGCCUCCUGUCUAACUAUAAGAGGUCCAGCCUGCCCAGUGACAUUGUUCAACGGCCGCGGUAUCCUAACCGUGCGAAGGUAGCGUAAUCACUUGUUCUUUAAAUGAGGACUAGUAUGAACGGCUUCACGAAAGCUAUACUGUCUCCUUUAUCCAAUCAGUUAAACUAAUCUCCCCGUGAAGAAGCGAGGAUACCUAUAUAAGACGAGAAGACCCUAUGGAGCUUUAAACACUUAAACAUUUGCAUUACAUAUAAAACUUUCAGAAAACUCUCUCAAGCUUACCAUUUUGUUUUAAGUUUUAGGUUGGGGUGACCACGGAGAAAAAUCUAACCUCCACGUAGAAAGAAACUAUUUUCUAAGCAAAAAGUCACAUCUUUACGCAUCAACAUAUUGACCUAAAUUGACCCAUUAUUUGAUCAACGAACCAAGUUACCCUAGGGAUAACAGCGCAAUCCGCUUUAAGAGCUCUUAUCGACAAGCGGGCUUACGACCUCGAUGUUGGAUCAGGGUAUCCUAGUGGUGCAGCAGCUACUGACGGUUCG
rnacentral:rRNA from 1 species